AACGAACGCUGGCGGCAUGCCUAACACAUGCAAGUCGAACGAUCCCUUCGGGGAUAGUGGCGCACGGGUGCGUAACGCGUGGGAACCUGCCCUUGGGUUCGGAAUAACUCAGAGAAAUUUGAGCUAAUACCGGAUAAUGUCUUCGGACCAAAGAUUUAUCGCCUUUGGAUGGGCCCGCGUUGGAUUAGCUAGUUGGUGGGGUAAAGGCCUACCAAGGCGACGAUCCAUAGCUGGUCUGAGAGGAUGAUCAGCCACACUGGGACUGAGACACGGCCCAGACUCCUACGGGAGGCAGCAGUGGGGAAUAUUGGACAAUGGGCGAAAGCCUGAUCCAGCAAUGCCGCGUGAGUGAUGAAGGCCUUAGGGUUGUAAAGCUCUUUUACCCGGGAUGAUAAUGACAGUACCGGGAGAAUAAGCCCCGGCUAACUCCGUG
rnacentral:rRNA from 1 species